GCCGGUGACCUUACCGGAGGGGCCACACCUGAUUCCAUCCCGAACUCAGAAGUUAAGCCCUCCAGGGCCGAUGGUACUUCGCGGGCAGCUGCGUGGGAGAGUAGGUCGUUGCCGGCC
rnacentral:rRNA from 1 species